UACGUAGGGUGCAAGCGUUGUUCGGAAUUAUUGGGCGUAAAGCGCGUGUAGGUGGUUAGGAAAGUUAGAUGUGAAAGCCCUGGGUUCAACCCAGGAAGGGCAUCUAAAACUACCUAGCUAGAGGGCGAGAGAGGGAGGUGGAAUUCCUAGUGUAGAGGUGAAAUUCGUAGAUAUUAGGAGGAAUACCGGUGGCGAAGGCGGCCUCCUGGAUCGUUCCUGACACUGAGACGCGAAAGCGUGGGGAG
rnacentral:rRNA from 1 species